UGCACUGUCGGCUUGUCCACUUUUGAGGUGUUGGCACUUGGACUGAUCCACCACUGGCUUCCUUGCUCCCCAGCUUGCAGACGGCCUAUCGUGGGACUUCACCUUGUGAUCAGAGGCCAGUUUGCUAUUCUUAGUUCCAGCGGAAGUGGAUCUGACGUGGGCGAUCAGCACCUUCCUUUACCAAUGGCUUAUGGAACUCACGUCCAGCACGAGAGUGGAUAUUUGCCCAACAAAACUCACAGUAAUACUGCAGAAUAUGUACAGACAAAAACAAGUAUGCUAAUGAAAUUUCUUCAAAUACUAUAAACAAUCAGUGAAGACUGCUACUAUAGGCUGCUGCUGUAUUUUUAAGAGGCUCAACUUCAAAUACUUCAACCUUUUAUGGAAAGAUGGAAACACACAACAAACUAUGUAGAUCUUGAUACAAGUCUCCAUCAAGUUGAUUCAUUUUUAAAAGUAAAUUACAUCCUAAUUUCAAACCUGUGGCAAGACAAGUCAAAUCAUCAAAGAAUGGUAAAUCCACCAAAAGGCUAAUAA
rnacentral:antisense_RNA from 1 species